GGACAAACAUGAGGCAAAUAUUAGCCUCUGGAGGCCACACAGGUGGCCAUAAAACAAAAAGGAGUGAAACUUUUGGAGGGGGAGUUAACCAGGCUGUGACGCUAACACCUGCAUCAGUAUCAGUAACCAUGGAGAUGAUGACUUCCACAGUGAAUUAUCUUCUAUCCAUCGAUAUUAAGGCAGCUUGCAGAGAGGCGUCAACCAAUGAGAAGUCGGCGCCAGGCACGAGGAGGACGGGGCAUUCACAAGCGUUGAAUAAUAAUAAAAAAUGAGUCUCUCUCUGCUGCAUUCCCCUCCGCUAGAGGCUUGUCUAUGCCAUCAGAGAGGUGUAACUCUCUGGAGCAGCUGGCUCCUAUGGUAAACUGCAUCUCAAAGAGCACUGCUAUGAUUUGGUUGAAUAUGAUUUCUCAGAUCAUAGCAUCACAUUCUCUAGGACAUACUUAUUUUCCCCUAAUGUUUUUUAGAAAGAUUAAAAGUGGAUAUGGCACAAUUAAUAAAAUAAAGAACACUUCA
rnacentral:lncRNA from 1 species